UGGCGGCGUGCCUAAUACAUGCAAGUCGAACGCGCAGCGAGAGGUGCUUGCACCUUUCAAGCGAGUGGCGAACGGGUGAGUAACACGUGGAUAACCUGCCUCAAGGCUGGGGAUAACAUUUGGAAACAGAUGCUAAUACCGAAUAAAACUUAGUAUCGCAUGAUAUCAAGUUAAAAGGCGCUACGGCGUCACCUAGAGAUGGAUCCGCGGUGCAUUAGUUAGUUGGUGGGGUAAAGGCUUACCAAGACGAUGAUGCAUAGCCGAGUUGAGAGACUGAUCGGCCACAUUGGGACUGAGACACGGCCCAAACUCCUACGGGAGGCUGCAGUAGGGAAUCUUCCACAAUGGGCGCAAGCCUGAUGGAGCAACGCCGCGUGUGUGAUGAAGGCUUUCGGGUCGUAAAGCACUGUUGUAUGGGAAGAAAUGCUAAAAUAGGGAAUGAUUUUAGUUUGACGGUACCAUACCAGAAAGGGACGGCUAAAUACGUGCCAGCAGCCGCGC
rnacentral:rRNA from 1 species